rnacentral:rRNA from 1 species
CCAAUAGCGUAUAUUAAAGUUGUUGCAGUUAAAAAGCUCGUAGUUGAAUUUCGGGAUUGACGUGAUGGUCAUGCCUUAAGGGGUAUGAACUGUUACUGUUGAUUUCUCACCUUCUGGAGAAACUUGAUGUCCUUUAUUGGGUGUCUUGCGGAUCCAGGACCUUUACCUUGAAAAAAUUAGAGUGUUUAAAGCAGGCAUUUUUGCUCGAAUACAUUAGCAUGGAAUAAUAGAAUAGGACGGCAUGGUUCUAUUUUGUUGGUUUCUAGGAUCACCGUAAUGAUUAAUAGGGAUAGUUGGGGGCAUUAGUAUUCAAUUGUCAGAGGUGAAAUUCUUGGAUUUAUUGAAGACUAACUACUGCGAAAGCAUUUGCCAAGGAUGUUUUCAUUAAUCAAGAACGAAAGUUAGGGGAUCGAAGACGAUCAGAUACCGUCGUAGUCUUAACCAUAAACUAUGCCGACUAGGAAUCAGACGAUGUUAAUUUUUUAAUGACUCGUUUGGCGCCUUACG